GAUGAACGCUGGCGGCGUGCCUAAUACAUGCAAGUCGAGCGAACAGACGAGGAGCUUGCUCCUCUGACGUUAGCGGCGGACGGGUGAGUAACACGUGGAUAACCUACCUAUAAUACUGGGAUAACUUCGGGAAACCGGAGCUAAUACCGGAUAAUAUAUUGAACCGCAUGGUUCAAUAGUGAAAGACGGUUUUGCUGUCACUUAUAGAUGGUUCCGCGCCGCAUUAGCUAGUUGGUAAGGUAACGGCUUACCAAGGCAACGAUGCGUAGCCGACCUGAGAGGGUGAUCAGCCACACUGGAACUGAGACACGGUCCAGACUCCUACGGGAGGCAGCAGUAGGGAAUCUUCCGCAAUGGGCGAAAGCCUGACGGAGCAACACCGCGUGAGUGAAGAAGGUCUUCGGAUCGUAAAACUCUGUUAUUAGGGAAGAACAAAUGUGUAAGUAACUAUGCACGUCUUGACGGUACCUAAACAGAAAGCCACGGCUAACUACGUG
rnacentral:rRNA from 1 species